rnacentral:rRNA from 1 species
AUUGAACGCUGGCGGCAUGCUUUACACAUGCAAGUCGAACGGCAGCGCGGGGGCAACCCUGGCGGCGAGUGGCGAACGGGUGAGUAAUGUAUCGGAACGUAUCCUGUAAUGGGGGAUAACCAGUCGAAAGAUUGGGUAAUACCGCAUACGCACGAGAGUGGAAAGUAGGGGAUCGCAAGACCUUACGUUAUAGGAGCGGCCGAUAUCUGAUUAGCUAGUUGGUGGGGUAAAGGCCUACCAAGGCGACGAUCAGUAGCUGGUCUGAGAGGACGACCAGCCACACUGGGACUGAGACACGGCCCAGACUCCUACGGGGGGCAGCAGUGAGGGAUUUUCGGCAAUGGGCGAAAGCCUGACCGAGCGACGCCGCGUGAAGGAAGACAGCCUUACGGGUUGUAAACUUCUUUUCUGUUUGAAGAAUAAGCCCGUUGAGACGGGUGAUGCCGGUAGGACAGGAAUAAGCAUCGGCUAACUCCGUG